AUCUCAGGCCACACAGGAUUCCAUUCAUCGAACAUUCCUGAGACAACGGAAUUCUGGCGAUGGAGCACAGGAUGCUUCACAGUCUACGGCAAAGGACAGAACGUUGGUUGCUCGAGAGCCCGUCUUAAGUCUCCUAUGAGCUUCAAGCCAACACAACAGAGGGCAAACUCCAGGCUACCUGAUCCCUCAGCAAAGAUGCAGAUGGACACAGCGUUCUGGCCCCACGCAUCUGAAGUUCGUCUUAAGAUGUGUGAAAGCCUCAGCGCAUGAGCCAAUUCUGUGCAGUGCUCGACAUACAGAUGAGAACACUGAGGCACGAGGCACAGCCUGUGAUCUGGCCACCGCGCUCAGGAGGAGGUGGUUACCCGCGGGCCUGAGGGCGCUGACUUUUUAGAAUGGGCGAGUGCAGCUGUGUCCCAGUGUCCCAGUGACCAGAACGAUUACUGCCUUU
rnacentral:lncRNA from 1 species